AAGUUCAAAAUAUCAUUGCAGACAUCCUCUUUCUUUAGACGUCCAGUUCUUGUGAACUUCCCGAGCUUCACGCAUGAAUGAUCAAAUAUAAUAUCUGCAGUUGUUGUUGAUAGAACAUGGGAACGAGUCACCAAAAGCAAAGGUUCUGAGUGGUGGUACUCGUUGGGCUGAUUUCCAGUGUAUGUGCAAAAGAGUUCAUGGUUUUUGUGACUUUUGAAAAGGAUUAAGAGGGAAAUUAUUCAAGGGUAUGUAAUUUCUUCUUCCUUUCCUCUUAAUUAGAAAGUAUGCGUAUAAUUAUUUAACAAUGUUUAUCCUCUGUGAUUUUGUAUGAAUUUCUCUGCAUUUUCAUUGUUUCGAAAUUGAAAUAAUUGCACGACAUUCACACCCUUCCACGAGAAAUCCUAUUCCUUCAAUUGGUAUCAUAGUCAAAUCAUGCAUUUGUUUUUCAAUUUUGAAAAGAAAAUCAGACAAAAGGUGGGUGUUCGGCAUCAUGAAUGUUGGUUUGCAAAAAUGGAUAAUUUCAAGUUUCGACACUUAGAUUUACUACUUUAAUGUUGAUCAAUGUUGUAAGAGACUGUUGUUUUUUGCAAUUUAUUUUAUGCUAUCAAGUCUAUAAUCCUAUGUCGAUUGAGGAGUUAGAGUCGCUAAGAAGAUCGGUGGAAAACGAAGCAAAAACAGGACAAGAACGAAGCAGAAAAAUGCAUUUUGUGCUAGAGUGUAAAGAAGAGUAUUGCAACGCUAAGAUUUACUCAACGGAACACGGAACCCAACGUUGUGGCGCUUGGCGACAACGUCACAACACUGCUAUCGAGCGUCGCGAUUCUGGAGGAAGCGUAGCGUUACACUACGGCAUAAACAUCGCGCCAUUCUCCAAUAGCGUCGUGGUGCUCUGAGGUUGCACACACGCAUUCCAGGCAGUGUCAUGACCCUUGCUUAACGCUGACGCGCGACGCUUGAAGGCAGGAGGCAAGAAAAAAGGGCAGCAUCGCAACACUACCCUCAACGUUGCAACACUACGUAGAUUGACAGAGUUCCAACGAAUCCACCACCUCAUCGCAACCAAGCAUAGCAUCAGAGUUGUAACGCUCAAGGUCUAAAUUGUGUAAGAGCGUUGCAAUGCUAUCAUCAAUGCUGCAACGCUACACCUGUGAUAUAAAAGCAAAAUUUUGCACUUUUACAGGGAAGACCAAAACACAACUCGAUUUUCUCUCAAUUUUUCUUAGCUUUUUGCACUUUUUCUUUCAUUCCUUCCUUACCUUUGAUGCAUCCAUGCUAUUCCUUGGUCAAAUCUUGAAGAAGAUGCAACAUUAAGGUAAGUAUUCUAGUUUAGUUUAGGAAGAUUCUUAAUCUUCUUGGUAUGAGGCUGAAUCUUUAAUAAUUUAUCAUGUAAUUUCUUGAAUUCUGUAACAAACUCUU